rnacentral:lncRNA from 1 species
GAUGGUGGGGUUGAUGUGCCCGUCGAUUCGGUGAUCUGCCGGCUGAGCUCAUCUUCUCAAUGGCGGACUGAUGUUCUAUGGUAGUCGCAGGCAUUGUAUGUGAUAGUGCAGUCGCUGAUGUACAAGAGGCGUCCGUGGUGUCAGUUCUCCAUCGUCCAUGCUUAUCUUCUAUAUGCUCUAGCAGCCAGGUGAUUACAUAUUACCUUUUCUAUCAAUUCAGCUAAGCAUUAGCAGACAUGCAGUGUGCUUCUCAUUGUUCUCUGAGGAAUUUGAAUUGGAUUGAUUUCGCGUGCUUCUUAAUUUUUGGUAAUAGAGCUGUAGGAACAAGAGAAGAGAGACACAAAUCCCUUAUUGUGAUUCAUGACACCUAAGCACUGCCAGAUAUACUAUUGUUACUAUGGCCAACACUUAGAUUUUGUUACAUAUAUGAGUCGGGAACACAUAGUGAUUCUAAUAAUCGAGUAAAGUCAUGUAUAUAGACUGAUUAGUGUGAUGUGUUUAUGAUUUUUUCGAGGACACCUAAGAUGAAAAGCGGUGGGUGUGGUGGCUUAAACAAAGUUUGUGCAAUUUCACUUUAACUUCAAACUGUUGUUGGUGAGACUGCCAUGUCAGGAACUCAUGUACUUACAAUACGUUCAGUUAGAUUAGAAAAUGUCAUCUCAUUUAAAAAAUAACAUCUCAUUUCUUCCCCUUGAUUCAGUUAUGAACUCUAUCGUACGUUCAGACUCUGAAGUAGUUAUGCGAGAGUAGAAGAGGUUUGUAGCCUCCGCUGCUGGUGGACUGACUAUUUUAUAUGGACUAUGCUGGGCAGCAGUAACUUAGGUCUUGCGCUUUUGUGAAAUUGACACACGGACUAAACAUACACAUUGGAUUUUUCUCACAGUUUGUGCUCACACCAAAUCAAGCUUUUCAAAGCAUUAUUCCAGUGUUGUUUCUUCCUCUGCUAAUUUUUAGAUUGUUGUUUUUCUUGGUGACCUUCCUUGAUCUGUGCUAAUUUGUGCAAGAGAUUUUUGGAGAACAUGAAUUCUUCUGCUUUACUAAAACUUGGAUCUCCGUUAGGCAUGAGCUGAGCUGCCUUAUUUAAUAUGUUAUUCCUAGGCAUCAAUAAACUAGACGAUUUGCCAGUAGAAACAAUUAUAAAGGGCAGCCCCAGUGCAUGUAGCUCCCGCUUGCGCAGGGUCUGGGGAAGGGUCCGACCACUUCGGGUCUAUUGUACGCAGCCUUUCCCUACAUUUCUGCAAGAGGCUGUUCCCAGUAGAAACAAUUAUAACUGGAAAAAUUGCAUGGCUGGAUGUGCUUUCUCUUGACACUGAGCAAUGGAUAAAUAUUCUGGCUUAUUUCCUUUUUGUAUUUGAACGCGAUGUAAUUGUGGAAAUAAGAAAGAGACUAUUUAGAGCUCUCUGCCCUUUUUUUUCUUUGUGGCUAAUCUCUAACUACCCUAUGGACAGUAGUAAUCACUUUCUCUUUUUACCAUCAGCAGGAUUUAAUUGAUGGAGUCCUGCUGCUAAAGGACGUGAACAGGAAGUCCUAUCACUGGAUGUUUACUGUCUGAAUUGCAAGG